rnacentral:rRNA from 1 species
UACGGAGGGAGCUAGCGUUGUUCGGAAAUACUGGGCGUAAAGCGCACGUAGGCGGCGCAGCAAGUCAGGGGUGAAAUCCCGGGGCUCAACCCCGGAACUGCCCUUGAAACUGCAGUGCUAGAAUUCUGGAGAGGCGAGUGGAAUUCCGAGUGUAGAGGUGAAAUUCGUAGAUAUUCGGAAGAACACCAGUGGCGAAGGCGACUCGCUGGACAGACAUUGACGCUGAGGUGCGAAAGCGUGGGGAGCAAACAGGAUUAGAAACCCCCGUAGUCC